rnacentral:rRNA from 1 species
UACGUAGGGUGCGAGCGUUGUCCGGAAUUAUUGGGCGUAAAGAGCUCGUAGGCGGCUUGUCGCGUCGGAUGUGAAAGCCCGGGGCUUAACUCCGGGUCUGCAUUCGAUACGGGCAGGCUAGAGUUCGGUAGGGGAGAUCGGAAUUCCUGGUGUAGCGGUGAAAUGCGCAGAUAUCAGGAGGAACACCGGUGGCGAAGGCGGAUCUCUGGGCCUUACCUGACGCUGAGGCGCGAAAGCUAGGGGAGCGAACAGG